GCUUAGCUUCCAAGAUCAGAUGAGAUUGAGCACGUUCAGGGUAGCAUGGCCAUAGACUGUGAUGAAAGUAGCGGUGGUAUGAGCAUUCUUCCCUUGUUCCUGCUCUCAAAGAUUUUGGUAUAAGGGAUUGAUAGAUUCAUAAAGGAAUGCACCAUUUUUUCUGUUUUCUGGAAGAGUUGAUGUAAUAUUGGAAUUAUUUUUUUCUUGAAAUUUGGUGGAACUGCUAGUAGAGCAAUCUGAACCUUGAUGUUGCUGGCGGUGUUGUUAUGGGAAGUUUUUUUUUGUUUUACUUCUUGAUCGAUUUCUUUAGUGGUUAUGAUUAUUCAGAUUUUUUCUUUCUUUCUUUCUUUCUUUUUUUUUUUUUCUUUUUGAUUUUUAUGAGUUUAUUUGAGCUAAAACUAAUGACAGUUGCCAGGAAGCAAUAUCUCCGAUGCUGCUUUUAUUUGUUCUGGAAGAUUUUUUUCUCAGUUCGUCUUCAUUUAUAAAUCUAUUCGAAUUAAAUUCUUCAUAACAUCCUAGUUUAUCUUUUUAGUGAGUGCAACUUCUGUGGUAAUGGCUCCUUUUUCAUUUCUGAUAUUGUUUAUUUGUACCAACUGCUUUUUUUUUUAACCAGUUUUAUCAGAGAUUAUCAAUUAUAUUUUCAUGGAAGCAACUUUUGGCUUUAUUGAUACUCUAUAUAGGUUUAUUUUCUAUCUUAUAAAUUCAGCUUUUAUCUUGAUUAUUUUCUUCUAAUUUUACAAUUUCUUUAGUCUUUUUUUCUAAAGUUUUAAGAUGAGCACUGUGAAAAGUUAACAUAAGUGGAGCCAUUUUAAAAUAAAGCCAGAUAUUAUCAACAGGACAAGUAAUAACAAGUGUGGGAGAGGUUGCGGAGAAAAAGGAACCCUCAUAUAC